rnacentral:rRNA from 1 species
UGCGCAGGCGGUUUCGCAAGUCAGAUGUGAAAGCCCCGGGCUUAACCUGGGAAUUGCAUUUGAAACUACGAGGCUAGAGUGUGUCAGAGGGAGGUAGAAUUCCACGUGUAGCAGUGAAAUGCGUAGAGAUGUGGAGGAAUACCGAUGGCGAAGGCAGCCUCCUGGGAUGACACUGACGCUCAUGCACGAAAGCGUGGGGAGCAAACAGGAUUAGAUACCCUGGUAGUCCACGCCCUAAACGAUGUCAACUAGUUGUCGGGGAAGCAAUUCCUUGGUAACGCAGCUAACGCGUGAAGUUGACCGCCUGGGGAGUACGGUCGCAAGAUUAAA